AACGAACGCUGGCGGCAUGCCUAACACAUGCAAGUCGAACGAGACCUUCGGGUCUAGUGGCGCACGGGUGCGUAACACGUGGGAAUUUGCCUCGGGGUAUGGAAUAACUCAGGGAAACUUGAGCUAAUACCAUAUAAUGUCUUCGGACCAAAGAUUUAUCGCCCUGAGAUAAGCCCGCGUAGGAUUAGCUAGUUGGUGGGGUAAAGGCUCACCAAGGCGACGAUCCUUAGCUGGUCUGAGAGGAUGAUCAGCCACACUGGGACUGAGACACGGCCCAGACUCCUACGGGAGGCAGCAGUGGGGAAUAUUGGACAAUGGGCGGAAAGCCUGAUCCAGCAAUGCCACGUGAGUGAUGAAGGCUCGGUUGUAAG
rnacentral:rRNA from 1 species